AUUGAACGCUGGCGGCAGGCCUAACACAUGCAAGUCGAGCGGAUGAAGGGAGCUUGCUCCUGGAUUCAGCGGCGGACGGGUGAGUAAUGCCUAGGAAUCUGCCUGGUAGUGGGGGAUAACGUCCGGAAACGGGCGCUAAUACCGCACACGUCCUGAGGGAGAAAGUGGGGGAUCUUCGGACCUCACGCUAUCAGAUGAGCCUAGGUCGGAUUAGCUAGUUGGUGGGGUAAAGGCCUACCAAGGCGACGAUCCGUAACUGGUCUGAGAGGAUGAUCAGUCACACUGGAACUGAGACACGGUCCAGACUCCUACGGGAGGCAGCAGUGGGGAAUAUUGGACAAUGGGCGAAAGCCUGAUCCAGCCAUGCCGCGUGUGUGAAGAAGGUCUUCGGAUUGUAAAGCACUUUAAGUUGGGAGGAAGGGCAGUAAGUUAAUACCUUGCUGUUUUGACGUUACCAACAGAAUAAGCACGGGCUAACUUCGUG
rnacentral:rRNA from 1 species